rnacentral:rRNA from 1 species
UACGUAGGGGGCUAGCGUUGUCCGGAAUCAUUGGGCGUAAAGCGCGUGUAGGCGGUCCGGUAAGUCCGCUGUGAAAGUCGGGGGCUCAACCCUCGGAUGCCGGUGGAUACUGUCGGGCUUGAGUACGGAAGAGGCGAGUGGAAUUCCUGGUGUAGCGGUGAAAUGCGCAGAUAUCAGGAGGAACACCAAUUGCGAAGGCAGCUCGCUGGGACGUUACUGACGCUGAGACGCGAGAGCGUGGGGAGCGAACCGG